ensembl:miRNA microRNA 26b
UGGGCCUGAUUCAAGUAAUCCAGGAUAGGUUUGUUCUGACAAGCGUAGCCUAUUCUGGAAGACUUGGUUCAGGAACG